rnacentral:rRNA from 1 species
AGCGAGAACCAGGGCUUCGGCCCUGGGGACAGCGGCGAACGGGUGAGUAACACGUGGGUAAUCCACCCUCGGCACCGGAAUAGCCCGGGGAAACCCGGAUUAAUGCCGGAUGGCCCGCCUGCCCCGAGGGGCUGGCGGAAAAGGUAGCUUCGGCCUCCGGCCGAGGACGAGCCCGCGACGGAUUAGCUUGUUGGUGGGGUAACGGCCUACCAAGGCUGCGAUCCGUAGCUGGUCUGAGAGGACGAUCAGCCACACUGGGACUGAGACACGGCCCAGACUCCUACGGGAGGCAGCAGUGGGGAAUCUUGCGCAAUGGGCGAAAGCCUGACGCAGCGACGCCGCGUGGGGGAAGAAGGCCUUCGGGUUGUAAACCUCUUUCAGGAGGGACGAAGCCACUCGGGUUAAUAGCCCAGAGGGUGACGGUACCUCCAGAAGAAGCCCCGGCUAACUACGUGCCAGCAGCCGCGGUAAUACGUAGGGGGCAAGCGUUGUCCGGAUUUAUUGGGCGUAAAGAGCGUGUAGGCGGCCAGGUAGGUCUGCUGUGAAAACUCGAGGCUUAACCUCGAGCUGUCGGCGGAAACCAUCUGGCUAGAGUCCGGAAGAGGAGAAUGGAAUUCCCGGUGUAGCGGUGAA